AUUGAACGCUGGCGGCAUGCCUUACACAUGCAAGUCGAACGGUAACAGGUCUUCGGAUGCUGACGAGUGGCGAACGGGUGAGUAAUACAUCGGAACGUGCCCGAGAGUGGGGGAUAACGAAGCGAAAGCUUUGCUAAUACCGCAUACGAUCUCAGGAUGAAAGCAGGGGACCGCAAGGCCUUGCGCUCACGGAGCGGCCGAUGGCGGAUUAGGUAGUUGGGGGGAUAAAAGCUUACCAAGCCGACGAUCUGUAGCUGGUCUGAGAUGACGACCAGCCAAACUGGGACUGAGACACGGCCCAGACUCCUACGGGAGGCAGCAGUGGGGAAUUUUGGACAAUGGGCGCAAGCCUGAUCCAGCCAUGCCGCGUGCAGGAUGAAGGCCUUCGGGUUGUAAACUGCUUUUGUACGGAACGAAAAGACUCCUUCUAAUAAAGGGGGUCCAUGACGGUACCGUAAGAAUAAGCACCGGCUAACUACGUGCCAGCCGCCGCAGUAAAAC
rnacentral:rRNA from 1 species